UCUCUCUGGUUAGACCAGAUCUGA
rnacentral:miRNA from 1 species